rnacentral:rRNA from 1 species
UACGUAGGGUGCAAGCGUUAAUCGGAAUUACUGGGCGUAAAGCGUGCGCAGGCGGUUUUGUAAGUCUGUCGUGAAAUCCCCGGGCUCAACCUGGGAAUGGCAUUUGGGACUGCAAGGCUGGAGUUUGGCAGAGGAGACUGGAAUUCCUGGUGUAGCAGUGAAAUGCGUAGAUAUCAGGAGGAAUACCGAUGGCGAAGGCAGGUCUCUGGGCUAUAACUGACGCUCAUGCACGAAAGCGUGGGGAGCAAACAGG